rnacentral:tRNA from 1 species
GUAAGGUCAGCUAAUU